rnacentral:rRNA from 1 species
UACGUAGGGACCAAGCGUUGUUCGGAAUCAUUGGGCGUAAAGGGCGCGUAGGUGGUUCUGUAUGUCUACCGUGAAAGCGUACGGCUCAACCGUAUUUUGUCGGUGGAAACUGCAGGACUUGAGGCUGGGAGGGGCUGGUGGAAUUCCCUGUGUAGCGGUGAAAUGCGUAGAGAUGGGGGAGAACACUCGUGGCGAAGGCGGCCAGCUAGACCAGUUCUGACACUGAGGCGCGACAGCGUGGGGAGCAAACAGG